AUAUCUCUCUGUACGGGAAGGAUGAGAAGCUUCUACCAGGGUUCGAUUCGAGCGCAGCGAGAAAGCGUUGCCGCAGGCAACGACCCGAAGGGCGAAGCGCGCAGCGCUGAGUCAUCCUUC
rnacentral:sRNA from 4 species